rnacentral:rRNA from 1 species
GUGGGGAAUAUUGGACAAUGGGCGAAAGCCUGAUCCAGCCAUUCCGCGUGUGUGAAGAAGGUCUUCGGAUUGUAAAGCACUUUAAGUUGGGAGGAAGGGCAGUAAGUUAAUACCUUGCUGUUUUGACGUUACUGACAGAAUAAGCACCGGCUAACUUCGUGCCAGCAGCCGCGGUAAUACGAAGGGUGCAAGCGUUAAUCGGAAUUACUGGGCGUAAAGCGCGCGUAGGUGGUUUUGUAAGUUGGAGGUGAAAUCCCCGGGAUCAACCUGGGAACUGCCUCGAAAACGGCAUGACUAGAGGACGCUAGAGGGUAGGGGAAUUUCCUGUGUAGCGGUGAAAUGCGUAGUUAUAGGAAGGAACACCAGUGGCGAAGGCGACUACCUGGACUGAUACUGACACGGAGGUGCGAAAGCGUGGGGAGCAAACAGGAUUAGAUACCCGAGUAGUCC